rnacentral:rRNA from 1 species
GCGAACGGGUGAGUAACACGUAGGUAACCUGCCUUUGAGACUGGGAUACCCAGACGAAAGUUUGGCUAAUACCGGAUAACAACGUUAGUCGCAUGAUUAACGUUUGAAAGUCGCUUUUGCGACACUCUUAGAUGGACCUGCGGCACAUUAGCUUGUUGGUGAGAUAACAGCCCACC